AUCCAGCUGAUGAGUCCCAAACAAGACGAAACGCGCGUCCUGAAU
rnacentral:hammerhead_ribozyme from 1 species